AGGGACUUUGGGUCCCGGCUCCGCCUUUCCCCCCUAGGACAUGUCAGUGUCUGCUGCGUGCGCCUCAGGUUCCUUGGCAGGCUAGGGACGGGUAAAGUACUUGGGAGUUCUUUGUGACAGACACGCCUAAGGGGCUUUCCCCACAAAAUAAUAAGUAUGACGCUCUGUCUCCAAGCAUGUGUGAAAUGACUGUGGUAGAGAGAAGGAAGGGGAAGAGGGUAACGGUGUUGAGUGCCUGGGAAAUGCCUCAGCGUUUUAUCACAGCCUAUUCCAACAACACUUCUGGCAGGUGUUAACCUCAUUUUAAGGAUGAAGAACAGAUUCCGAGGGGAUGGAAAUGUAGCUCAGUGUUAGAUCCCUUGUCUACCGUGGCCCUGAGUUCCAUCCCUAGCACUGGGGGGAAAAACAAAAAAAUCAGCCACGACCUUUGAAAGCUCUAGCCAUCACCAUCUCCACCACUGAUGGAAUCUGAGCCAGAGUCCCCCACCACCACCAAGCCAAAGGAGGGCUGAUGCCUCUAGAGAGGGUGCAGAUGCUGGGGGCUGAUUUGGGGAGAAAAGGGACGUCCUGGAAGAGGGAAUGCAGAGAUCCUGUAGGACAAGACAGAAAGGUCCCUUCUAGAGGGAGAAAGAGAGGAAUCCCUGGGGCAAAGAGGCCUGAGUGGGAUGUCCAGGUUGCAGAAGGGUAUUGGAUUCAAAUGUCAGGUCAGACGCGGGCUUCCCAGUAGGGAAACUGAGGCCUCCAGAAGGGCCAAGGACACUGCUCAAAGAAAGGGGGCACCCUGUGGCUGUCCCUGUCUCUGGGUUGUGCGAUCCACGCUGACGAAAGGACCUAAAGAAAUUUUCCCUGGGCUUAAAGACUCGCGGCCCGCCUUCCAGAG
rnacentral:lncRNA from 1 species